UGGUGGGUUGCCUUGUCAGGUUGAUUCCGGUAACGAACGAGACCUCAGCCUGCUAAAUAGUCACGGCCUCCUCGGGGCCGGCAGACUUCUUAGAGGGACUAUUGGCGACUAGCCAAUGGAAGCAUGAGGCAAUAACA
rnacentral:rRNA from 1 species